CUUCAACGAGCCCAGCCACAAAGGCCGUCGGCGGUUCUGUCCGUACGUCGCGAUCAGGGCCUGAGCCUC
rfam:Streptomyces lincolnensis strain NRRL 2936, complete genome.